rnacentral:rRNA from 1 species
GACGAACGCUGGCGGCAUGCUUAACACAUGCAAGUCGAACGGAAAGGCCCUGCUUUUGUGGGGUGCUCGAGUGGCGAACGGGUGAGUAACACGUGAGUAACCUGCCCUUGACUUUGGGAUAACUUCAGGAAACUGGGGCUAAUACCGGAUAGGAGCUCCUGCUGCAUGGUGGGGGUUGGAAAGUUUCGGCGGUUGGGGAUGGACGCGCGGCUUAUCAGCUUGUUGGUGGGGGAGUGGCUUACCAAGGCUUUGACGGGUAGCCGGCCUGGGAGGGUGACCGGGCACAGUGGGCCAGGGGUGCGACCAGGAGGGAAUAGGGAGGAAGGGGCGGGAACUUUAGGAAGAUGGGCGGAGGCUAGGUGGAGCGACGCCGGGUGCGGGAGGACGGCCUUCGGGUUGUAAGCCGCUUAAGCCUGUAACGAAGCGUAAGGACCGGUACUGGAGAAAGAAGCACGGCCAACUUAGGG